CAAUAGUGUAUAUUAAAGUUGCUGCAGUUAAAAAGCUCGUAGUUGGAUGUCGGUUAUUGCGAAGAGUGUCUACAUUUUACAUGUACGUACAUGACUCCAAUACCUUCUUUCAGUUUGUGAAUUAUUUCGCAACUGAUAUUUUACUUUGAGAAAAUUAGAGUGUUCAAAGCAGGCGUAACAAUGCCUUUGAAUAUAUUAGCAUGGGAUAAUGAAAUAAGACUUUAAGCCUUAUUUUCGUUGGUUCUUUGGGCUAAAGUAAUGAUUAAUAGGGACAGUUGGGGUUAUCUGUAUUUGAUCGCCAGAGGUGAAAUUCUAAGACUGAUCAAAGACAAACUAGUGCGAAAGCAUUUAACAAGGAUGUUUUCAUUAA
rnacentral:rRNA from 1 species